rfam:Pediococcus cellicola strain DSM 17757 Scaffold10, whole genome shotgun sequence.
CGGUUGCUAGGUGACAUCGAGAAAUCGUUGGCAGUUAGCAAGUUGUACUUCAUCUAACGUAGAAGCUCGCCGUGCCUACACCGAGUAUCUACGCUUUUUU